rnacentral:misc_RNA from 1 species
GAUGAAGAACGGAGCGAAAUGCGAUAAGUAGUGUGAAUUGCAGAAUUCAGUGAAUCAUCGAAUCUUUGAACGCACAUUGCGCCCCUUGGUAUUCCAUGGGGCAUGCCUGUUCGAGCGUCAUUUGUACCUUCAAGCUUUGCUUGGUGUUGGGUGUUUGUCUCGCCUUUGCGUGUAGACUCGCCUUAAAAUAAUUGGCAGCCGGCGUAUUGAUUUCGGAGCGCAGUACAUCUCGCGCUUUGCACUCAUAACGACAGCGUCCAAAAGUACAUUUUACACUCUUGACCUCGGAUCAGGCAGGGAUACCCGCUGAACUUAAGCAUAUCAAUAAGCGGAGGA